rnacentral:ncRNA from 1 species
AAAUACCGAGUGGGAUCCAGAGUACCACAGGAUAGGCAACCCGGUGGGAAGACGGGAGGACCAUCUCCCAAGGCUAAAUACUCCUAAGUGACCGAUAGCGCAUAGUACCGUGAGGGAAAGGUGAAAAGAACCCCGGGAGGGGAGUGAAAGAGAACCUGAAACCAUAUGUCCACAAGCAGUGGAAGCGAAAGCGACCACGUACUUUUUGUAGAACGGACCGGCGAGUUAUAGAUAUGCAGCGAGGUUAAGCGAAAGCGGAGCCGAAGCGAAAGCGAGUCUUAAAAGGGCGAAAGUUGCAUAUCAUAGACCCGAAACCGUGCGACCUACCCAUGAUCAGGGUGAAGCCGGAGUAAGAUCUGGUGGAGGCCCGAACCACGUUGACGUUGAAAAGUCAUGGGAUGAAUUGUGGGUAGCGGAGAAAUUCCAAUCGAGCUCGGAGAUAGCUGGUUCUCCCCGAAAUAGCUUUAGGGCUAGCCUCAGGGGGAAGGAAAUAUGGAGGUAGAGCACUGAAUGGACUAGGGGCCAAAGAGGUUACCGAACCCUAUCAAACUCCGAAUGCCAUAUUGAGACCCUGGGAGUCAGACUACGAGUGAUAAGAUCCGUGGUCAAAAGGGAAAGAGCCCAGACCGACAGCUAAGGUCCCAAAGAGCAUGUUAAGUGGAAAAGGAAGUAGGAUUUCCAAGACAACCAGGAUGUUGGCUUAGAAGCAGCCAUACAUUCAAAGAGUGCGUAAUAGCUCACUGGUCGAGAAAUCCCGCGCCGAAAAUAAACGGGGCUAAAACAUGCCACCGAAGCUACGGAUUCUGAAAAGAAUGGUAGGGGAGCGUACUGUACAGGACGAAGGAUAAGCGAAAGCGAAUCUGGACAGUACAGUAGAGAGAAUGCCGGUAUAAGUAACGAGAGUAAGGCGAGAAACCUUACCGUCGAAAGCCUAAGGAUUCCUGGGGAAGGAUAAUCCGCCCAGGGUAAGUCGGGACCUAAGCCGAGGCGAAAGCGUAGGCGAUGGAGAACCGGUAAUAAAUCCGGUACCACCGAAAUCCGCUAAAAGAGAAGCAAGGACGCAGCGAGAUAAGAAAAGCGUGCGGUUGGUAGAGCACGUCCAAGCAGCGACGAAAAGAGCUUUGAGUGAAGUACCAAAGCUCAUAAGAGCUGUGAUGGGGAGCCGAAAGGCGAAGUUUCGAAGGGGCUGCCAAGAAAAGUUGCUAUCGAGGAUAAGGUGCCCGUACCACAAACCGACACAGGUAGGCGAGGAGAGAAUCCAAAGACGAGCGGGAGAACCCUCAUUAAGGAACUCGGCAAAAAGACUCCGUAACUUCGGGAGAAGGAGUGCCGAAAGGCCGCAGAGAAGAGGCCCAAGCGACUGUUUACCAAAAACACAGGUUUCUGCUAAGUCGAAAGACGAAGUAUAGGAGCUGACGCCUGCCCGGUGCUGGAAGGUUAAGGGGAAGGGUCA